AUUGAACGCUGGCGGCAUGCCUUACACAUGCAAGUCGAACGGCAGCACGGGAGCAAUCCUGGUGGCGAGUGGCGAACGGGUGAGUAAAGUAUCGGAACGUGCCCAGUCGUGGGGGAUAACGUAGCGAAAGUUACGCUAAUACCGCAUACGAUCUAUGGAUGAAAGCGGGGGAUCGCAAGACCUCGCGCGAUUGGAGCGGCCGAUAUCAGAUUAGGUAGUGGGUGGGGUAAAGGCUCACCAAGCCGACGAUCUGUAGCUGGGCUGAGAGGACGACCAGCCACACUGGGACUGAGACACGGCCCAGACUCCUACGGGAGGCAGCAGUGGGGAAUUUUGGACAAUGGGCGAAAGCCUGAUCCAGCCAUGCCGCGUGCAGGAUGAAGGCCUUCGGGUUGUAAACUGCUUUUGUACGGAACGAAAAGGUUUGGGCUAAUAAGCUGAGCUCAUGACGGUACCGUAAGAAUAAGCACCGGCUAACUACGUGCCAGCCGCCGCGGUAA
rnacentral:rRNA from 1 species